rnacentral:misc_RNA from 1 species
GCCUCGAACGGUAUUUAGACAAUUUCUUUUGUGUUUUUGACCCAUUUCCACCUGUCAUAAACUAAUUACGAAAAGAAACUACAGAAAAGGAGUACAACAAGGGCUUAGGCUCAAAAAUGACAAAUACAAUUAAGUAAAAUAGAUUUGGCCCCUUGGUAAACUUCAUCCACUCUUUGACUUUCUGCCUUGCAAUUUCCCAACGUUGGAGUCCUGUUCAUCGGUUUUCGGGGGAGACUCGAAAAGAUGAAAUUAAGCCUUUACGAUUUUUGAAAUGCGGGGAAGAAAGAGUUCUCGACAAACUCGGGCAAAUGCACUCUUGCAGUGCAGUGAACUUGGGACGGCACGAG